GAUGAACGCUGGCGGCGUGCUUAACACAUGCAAGUCGAGCGGAGCACAUCAUUGGAAUCCUUCGGGAGGAAGAGGAUGUGGCUUAGCGGCGGACGGGUGAGUAACGCGUGGACAACCUGCCCUAUGCAGGGGGAUAACAUCCGGAAACGGGUGCUAAUACCGCAUAAGCGCACAGUACCGCAUGGUACAGUGUGAAAAGCUGAGGCGGCAUAGGAUGGGUCCGCGUUGGAUUAGGCAGUUGGCGGGGUAACGGCCCACCAAACCGACGAUCCAUAGCCGGCCUGAGAGGGUGGACGGCCACAUUGGGACUGAGACACGGCCCAG
rnacentral:rRNA from 1 species